GGUGCCUGCCUUUGGCCCAGGGCGUGAUCCUGGAGUCCUGGGAUCGAGUCCCGCGUCAGUCUCCCGGCAUGGAGCCUGCUUCUCCCUCCUGCUGUGUCUGCCUCUCUCUCUCUCUCUCUCUCUCUCUCUAAGUCUAUCAUAAAUAAAUAAAUCUUUUUAAAAAAAGUAUUAAUUGAGCACCUACUGUGUUCUGCGAACCAUGAUAUGGACUAGGCAAAUAGCAAAGGGUAAGGCAUUAUCCUUCUCCCAAUGGAACUAACACAGAAGGCAGAACUUAAACAAAUGACAAAUAAAUAUGUCAUUACAGCUUGUGUGGGGAAAGGGAAAUAAAAAGUGCAAUGAGAGAGUUUAUAAAUGAAUAAAUACCCUGUGGGGAUUAUAAGGGCAGAUAAGCCUACUCCAAAAGAAGUGAUAUUUUCUUAAUUUAAAAAAUGUUCAAGCUCUGGGGUAAGGUGAUGAAGUGGCUUUGAGGAGAGUUUCUGGCUGAGCCUCUGGCUGUGGGGUGUACAUUUGCACCGAUGCUUUCUCCAUCACAGGGACGGAUUCCUCUGGUACCUCCACAGGACGUGCUGGGAUUUCCUGGAGCCAGGAGGGCGAGCUCAGUGGGUUAUCCCUGGGCUGAGGGGCAGAACGGGGACGGAAAGGUGAGGCACGGUAGUCUCCGGUGCAGCAGGGGAGCAUGAACCUUGGCCUCUUCGGCGUCUAUUCCAAUCCCCUGACCCUACUUGGCCAAACUCCUACCAACGGGCAACAAAGAGAUGUUCAAAACGGGGGCGCUUCCUCCUUACAGCUACUCACUGUGUGAUCUUGUGGUGGGUAUGGACCUUGGUACCCAAAUUCAUUUGUUCAAGAAAUGAAAAUAAAGAAAUAAUUUUCUUUAUUUUGUUUAAAGUGAUCUCAGAUCCUCCAUGCCCCCGUCCUUCGUGGCAGAGGAAGUGAGUCCCAGGCGUGACAGGGGAUCUGUCCUGCGCUCUCUCCCAUGUCUGGCGAGCAGGCCCGGGCUUGCUUUCCUGGCACCACGAGGCUGUCCCGGGAGGGCCCCCCUCCCCCUGCCCAGGGGCCAAGGCUGCCCGGAACUCCAGGGGCACCUCCAGGUCUGGGAGAAACUUCUCACCGCUCCUCCCAGGCCCGCGUCCCUCUACACCUCGGCUUCUACGAGAGACAGUGGGAGACUUGACGUUCAGGUGCCCAGGCCCCUGCGAGUCCCGCCUGGAGAGGGGCCUCCCGUCAGCCUGCGGCCCAGGGCGACCGGCCGGGACAGGAGGCGGCGGUGCUGAAAGCUCAGGACGACAGGGGCCUGUCGGGGCGCGCCGGUCGGCUAAACUCGUCUGUUCACUGCCAAGGGGGGGGAAACACGCCCUCCACCUCGAGAUGCCUCUUGAUUUACGCCCUUGAACAGGCCGGACGCUUGUGCAGGUUGUGCACCCUCCCUGUGCGGGGAGGCCACCGGCUCGGCCACCUCACUGCACCCACGGCCCUGCGCAGCCGGGCAGUAAAUGUGAUUUUCUGAGUUCUUUGACAGCUGGUGACAAAGGGCCAGGUAUGGCACCGCGGCGGGGGUGGGGGCGGCUUUGCAGGAGGCAGCCCCGGGGCCCCAUGCUGCCGCCUGUACCCCGGGGUGGGGGGCGCAGGGCAAGGCCAGCCCUCCGGGAGCCCCGAGCCCUCCCCAUCCACCCCCUCCAGAAGCCCAGGCCCCUGACCCCACCCCACCGCCACUGCUGCUGGCCUGGGGACCCAGGACCCGUGUCCAGGGCUCCCCUCCCAAAGGAGAGGGGCUCCUCACUCUGUCUUAGAGCUGGAACUCCAAGGGCCUCCGCUGGGGUCGCAGGCAGCGGGUGGCUUUCAGAGCCUCGAUCAUUCCUCACCAAAGGUCUAUAACUCCCUCGUCUAAUUCCACCUCUUAGAUAAAGCAUGGGAGACCCCUAACUGUGGGACAGGGACAAAGGGCUGCGGGAAGGGAGGUGGAGGUGGGGUGACCGGGUGACGGGCACUUGAUAGGAUGAGCGCGGGGUGCUAUACUGUAUGUUGGCAAACGGAAUUUCAAUAAAACCAAUGAAA
rnacentral:lncRNA from 12 species